rnacentral:rRNA from 1 species
AUUGAACGCUGGCGGCAGGCCUAACACAUGCAAGUCGAACGAGUGGCGGACGGGUGAGUAAUGACUGGGAAACUGCCCGAUGGCGGGGGAUAACUACUGGAAACGGUAGCUAAUACCGCAUACCAACGGAUGUGCCCAGAUGGGAUUAGCUAGUAGGUGGGGUAACGGCUAACCGAGGCGACGAUCCAUAGCUGGUCUGAGAGGCAGAACAGCACCACUGGAACUGAGACACGGUCCAGACGCCUACGGGAGGCAGCAGUGGGGAAUAUUGCACAAUGGGCGCAAGCCUGAGGCAGCCAUGCCGCGUGUAUGAAGAAGGCCUUCGGGUUGUAAAGUACUUUCAGCGAGGAGGCGUUACUCGCAGAAGAAGCACCGGCUAACUCCGUGCCAGCAGCCGCGGUAAUUC